GACGAACGCUGGCGGCGUGCCUAAUACAUGCAAGUCGAACGCAGUUGGGACGGGUGAGUAACACGUGGGUAAGCUCCCAUCAGAGGGGAUAACACUGGGAAACAGGUGCUAAUCCGAUAUUGAUGGCUGGACCCGCGGUGCAUUAGCUAGUUGGUGAGGUAACGGCUCACCAAGGCCACGAUGCAUAGCCGACCUGGUGGGGUGAUGGCACACACUGGGGCGGAGACACGGCCCAGACUCCUACGGGAGGCCGCAGUAGGGAAUCUUCGGCAAUGGUCGAAAGGGUUACGGAGUGACGCCUCGUGACUGAAGAAUGCUGUCGGGGCGUAAAGCUCUGGUGUUAGAGAAGCUGUAUCCAACCAGAACGCCACGGCUAACUUCGUGCCAGCAGCCGCGGUAAUUC
rnacentral:rRNA from 1 species